CGAACCUGCAACCUCAUGGUUCCUAGUCAGAUUUGUUUCCGCUGAACCACAAUGGGAACUCCAGAAAGGACAAGUUUUUGAAUGAAAUAGACCAGGUUAACCUGCCGGGGGCUGGAGGAGAGAGCCGCUGUUCCUCCGCAGAGGAAAUUAGAGGCAGCUCCUCUGGCGAUAGGCAUGGGCAAAGGAGUGACCUGCUUCCUGGGAGGUGAACUUGAAGUGCAGGUGAAGACGCCCUGUAUUCCUGCUCCAGCCCCAGGCCUCCAGCGUGAUGCAGGGAGGGAGGGCAACAUGCCUGGGAUCAAUCUGAACACUUGGGUAAGGCUCAGAGGUGCUCGGCCAGAGAGGAUCUCCUGACAUGAGUCGUGGCCACUGUCCCCAGCUGGCCCCUGUCCCCAGCUGGCCCCGAGUCCCGGUGAGCCCCGGACGUGGGGGAGGAAAGCCUUGCUUCCUGCUGGCCUGCCUGGCCCGGCCCAGGGGGCCUCUUGGCAGGCUGCGGGCGGGUCACGGGACUCCUUCCAGACAGAGCCAGGCUCCUGCCGCCACCGUCACACACCCACAGUCUGGAGAGGGGGCAGCCAGGCCUGUGGUUCCCAUGGGGCUCCCCAAGGACGGAGGUGGGAAGAGGCCGUCCGAGUCUAGACCAGGGCAGGGCGGGCCCCAGCCACCAUCACCUCGGAGUCUGGUUUGCUUGUGGUCAAAACAAGGAUCAGGAAACAGCCUCAGAGAACAGGAGACCGUGGGGAGGGGGUGAGGCAUAGUCCCCGAGGCCCUUGGAGCUUCCGCCUUAAACCCAGUUUUCUUUCCCAGGCUCUGAGGUGCAGCCCCGUUGGCAGGAGGUAAGACCGCAGGCUCUGAAGUCUGCCUGCCUGGUUUCCAAUCUUGGCUCUGCUAUUAGCUCAUGACCUUGGGCAACCAAUGAAUUUCUUCGUUUGGAAAGAAGCAACAAGGACCACACCAUGGAGCUGCCGUGAGAAGGAGCUUUUUAGCUGUGCCCACAGCAUGCGAUAGUUUCCAAGCCAGGGAUCAAACCUGCGCCACAGCAGUGACCAUGCGACCACGCCGGAUCCUUAACCUGCUGCGCCACCAGGGACCCCGGAUCUCUUGAUCUUAACAUGCGGGGACUGAAGGCAGAGUAGGUCGUGAGCCCAGGACUACGAUGCAGCUGAUCAGUGCAUGGCCCACUGGGAAGGGGCAGUGGGAGGGAAGAAAGCAAGCCUUGUCCCGAGUUCCCUCAGGCUGGGAUCUGUGCCCUCAUCCCUUCGUUGGGACGGGAUGUGGGUGGUGGGCAGACCACAACCUGCCCGGGCAGAUGAUAGAUUCCUCCCUGGAGCCAGCUGUCUGACCCCCAGCUGACCCUCUGCACAUGAGAGCCUGGAACAAAGGCCAGUAGAGGGCUGUCUGGCUGGGGGCCUCCCCGUGGGGGCUACCAGGUCCUUUCGCUGCCCUCCCGGUUGCCAGACACUGGGAGGCAAAUCCUCCAUCUGCUGAUUACACGCCUGCACCGGAGAUGGUGCCUGGGGACUCACACGGUGAUGCUCUCUCUCUACCCUCACAAGCCAGGUGUUAGGAUCCCCAUUGUACAGAUGAGGAAACUGAGGCUCAGAGGAGUCGAGGUGCCUGUUCACAGCCACCAAGGCCACAUGGUUUGCAAUGGGUGGCCCUAAGACGCAAACCCAGGUCUCUCUGACCGCAGUGGUAGCUUUCCCAGCUGAAAGCGGCACAGCACCUCCACAGGGGCCUUUCUCACAAAGUCUCCCGCAGCCCCAAGGCUCAAACCUGCAAGCCUGGCUGGGCAGAGCAAGUGCCAAGCUUUCUUGAGGGGGUCUGUCCUGGAUGGACAAUCCUGGAACCAGACACACCCAGGACCCUCCCAAGGGAAACUGCCUCCAUCCCUCUCCUCUCCCGUCCCUCCUCCGCGGUCCCAGCUACAUACACGCCAGGGACAGCACUGAUCCAAGGCUGCCAAGGCCUGGGCUGAACUGUGGCCAUGACUGGUACGCAGGUACCAGGAUGCCAGGCAUUAAACAAAUAUGAUAAGUGGGGCAUCAGUGCCCGGCUUGGGGAAGGUGGGCAGACAGAGGCAGCUGGAUCCACAGGCGAGGGCUCUGCUGCCACGGGCUGGGGAGGUGGGUUUUGAGGCUACGAUCCCCACGCUGUGCAACGAACUCUGCAGCCAACGACCUGAGGACACCUGCUCCCUGUGGGCUGAGCCUGCUCUCUUUUCAUGUGUUCAGCACGAGAGCUCCCGAGCCACAGUCACGCCCGACACAUCGCAGGUGCCCGAUAAACAGCUGCCUGAGAAAUGAAGCUCCCACGUGCCAGGCACUCUUCUCAGAGGCGUUGACGUAAUCCUUCUGACAACGCUAUGAGGUCGGUCCUAGGGGUGUCUCCAUCCUACAGGCGAGGAGACUGAGGCACCCAGCGGCUAGAGGGUGAACAGGAGCUGCAGCUGCCGGCCACAGCCACAGCCACGCCAGAUCCAAGCCGCACCUGCGACCUACACCACAGGCCACAGACUCCGCGCAGAGUCAAGGACUCACCACUGGGGCUGCCACCACCGCCUCGCCAGCCCUGCUAUGACCACCUCCUUAUCCCACCCCCACUGCCGCCCCUGUGUGAAGGAUCCUGUCAGACCCCAGACUGCACCCAGACUCUCCUGCUCAGAAGCCUGCACUGGCUCCCAGCUCCCUGGGAACGAGGGUCAGUGUCCUGAUCCAGCCCCGACCGUGGGCCGUCGCUCCCAUUUCUUUUUUCCUUUUUUUUGUGUGUGUCUUUCUGUCUUUUUUUUUUAGGGCCACACCUGCAGCAUCAGCAUGUGGAGGCUAGGGGGCCACAGCAACACCAGGUCCGAGCCACGCCUGCGACCUACACCACAGCUCACCGCAACACCAGAUCCUUAACCCACUGGGGGCGGCCAGGGAUCGAACCCGCAACCCCAUGGGUCCCAAUCGCAUUCGUUAACUACUGAGCCAUGACGGGAACUCCUCUCCCACUUCGACCUCAUCUCCUGAUCUCCUACCACGUCAUCGUCUGCCACCCCACCCAGCCUCCCCCCACCGCCAGGGGCCUCAGGACCUUUAUGCUCGGACCUUUAGGUCCAAGGCGCUUCCCUAGGCCCCCUGGCUCGCUACCGCCCCCUUCAGGCCUCUGCUCGCAGGCCUUCCCUGGCCACCUCACAGCUGCAGAUGUGACUCUAAAAAUAAACACAGCCUCUGCCAUGUG